AUCUGCUACCAUACCAUGGUAGAAACAAAGGUUCUUGUCUGAUCACCAAAGUUAAGCAACGCUGGGCCUGGUUAGCACUUGCAUGGGUGGCCGGCUGGGACAACAGACCGUUCCUCGUU
rnacentral:rRNA from 1 species